rnacentral:rRNA from 1 species
GACAGAGGGUGCAAACGUUGUUCGGAAUUACUGGGCGUAAAGCGCGUGUAGGCGGCAAUACAAGUCGGAUGUGAAAUCCCGCGGCUUAACCGUGGAAGUGCACCCGAAACUGUAUCGCUAGAGUCCCGGAGAGGAUGGUGGAAUACUUGGUGUAGAGGUGAAAUUCGUAGAUAUCAAGUGGAACACCGGUGGCGAAGGCGGCCAUCGUGGACGGUGACUGACGCUGAGACGCGAAAGCGUGGGUAGCAAACAGG